rnacentral:tRNA from 1 species
GCAGUUGUGGCUCAGUGGUAGAGUACUUGUCUAUCACACAAGGGUCACUAGGUUCGAUCCUCAGCACCUCA